rnacentral:lncRNA from 10 species
CGCCGGGCUGCUCAACCCGACCCCACCCGCAGCACAGACUGGAGCAGGAGCUGCGGCGGGAAAUCCCAGCGGCGGGGGUCGGGGGCGCUGAGGUCCUCAAGAUUUCCUGUGUAUCAGAGCCUGUCUUCCCUCUCCUCCAAGAAGCCUUCCUUACCAGCAUCUCCAAGGUGGAGGAAGAGUUACCUUCUUCCCGCCAGUAUGGCUGCACAGCAGAGCCGGAGGCUUCCCCCUUAGACACUUGGUCUGACACACCUGCUCACUCCCAGAAGUUCAAGGGAGUUCUCUCUGGGAAGGAAGGAUGGACCCUCUCGGAGCUCCAAUCCUCUGCUCCUUCCUGAUGCUUCUGCCACCUGACCCCAUGUUCACUUCUCAAGGAGGGCAGCACGGCAGGAGGACACAGCAGCAAGGCAUCAUCUUAGAAGCAGAGAGCCAGGCUUCACCAGACCCCGAAUCUUCCAGUGCCUUACUCUUGGACUUUCAGCCUCCAGAACUGUGAGGA